GACGAACGCUGGCGGCGUGCCUAAUACAUGCAAGUCGAGCGCAGGAAACUGACGGAACUCUUCGGAGGGAAGGCAGUGGAAUGAGCGGCGGACGGGUGAGUAACACGUAAGGAACCUGCCUCAAGGAUUGGGAUAACUCCGAGAGAUCGGAGCUAAUACCGGAUAGUUCAACGGACCGCAUGGUCCGUUGAUGAAAGGCGCUCCGGCGUCACCUUGAGAUGGCCUUGCGGUGCAUUAGCUAGUUGGUGGGGUAACGGCCGACCAAGGCGACGAUGCAUAGCCGACCUGAGAGGGUGAUUGGCCACACUGGGACUGAGACACGGCCCAGACUCCUACGGGAGGAAGCAGUAGGGAAUCUUCCACAAUGGACGAAAGUCUGAUGGAGCAACGCCGCGUGAGUGAUGAAGGUUUUCGGAUCGUAAAACUCUGUUGUAAGGGAAGAACACGUACGAGAGGGAAUGCUCGUACCUUGACGGUACCUUACGAGAAAGCCACGGCUAACUACGUGCCAGCCGCCGCUGUAA
rnacentral:rRNA from 1 species